rnacentral:rRNA from 1 species
GACGAACGCUGGCGGCGUGCUUAACACAUGCAAGUCGUACGGUAAGGCCCUUUCGGGGGUACACGAGUGGCGAACGGGUGAGUAACACGUGAGUAACCUGCCCACAACUUUGGGAUAACGCUAGGAAACUGGUGCUAAUACUGGAUAUGUUCUCCUGCUGCAUGGUGGGGGUUGGAAAGCUCCGGCGGUUGUGGAUGGACUCGCGGCCUAUCAGCUUGUUGGUGGGGUAGUGGCCUACCAAGGCGGCGACGGGUAGCCGGCCUGAGAGGGUGACCGGCCACAUUGGGACUGAGAUACGGCCCAGACUCCUACAGGAGGCAGCAGUGGGGAAUAUUGCACAAUGGGCGCAAGCCUGAUGCAGCAACGCCGCGUGCGGGAUGACGGCCUUCGGGUUGUAAACCGCUUUCAGCAGGGACGAAGCUUUUUGUGACGGUACCUGCAGAAGAAGCACCGGCUAACUACGUG